GUGAGGGCAGAGUCAGACUAUGAGAUCCCACCCUGAUGACACCCAGAGGACCCUGCUGCCCAGCCUCUAUCACAGGACACUUACUGGGGCUCACAGGAGCUGCUCCCCGUCCUUUGCCAGGAGGGAGAGCCUGUUAAACGAAGGCUCCCUGGACCUCAAUGUGAUGGUGAAAGGGUCCACCAGAGGGAAUAAAGGGACUGUGGGUGGAGUGGGACCUUGAUGCCCAGCAUCUACAGAGGGAGGGAAGGCCAGAGCAAGGCCGUGCGAAGACAGGAAAGAGACUGGAGUGGUUCAGGCACAAUCCCAGGGCCUCCUGGAGCCACCAGAAACUGGAAGGAGCUACCCUAAAGCCUCUAGAAGGAACCAGCCCUGCUGACAACCUGAUUUCAGACUUUUGGCCUGCAGAACCAUGGGAGACUAAAUAUGUGUUGUCCUAAGUCCCCUGUUUACAACACUUCAUUACCAUGGCCACAGGAAGCAACUGUGAACCGCAUUACCUACAUCUCAGUCACAUGCUUGUCCUGACAACUACCGUGUCCUUAAAACUCCGGAUUCUUCUCUUUGUUUUUUUAAGACAGUGUCUCACUACAUAGCUCUGGCUGUCCUCAAACUCACAGUGACCAGCUGCCUCUGCCUCCCAUGUGCUCGGAUUAAAGGUGUGUGCCACCAUGCCAAGCUAAGACUUUGGGUUCUUAUGUGCCAGCCCCUGCUCUGCCUGGUGCUCCAUCCUCUGAAAAUACACCUUCCACUUCCCACUUCAUGUCCCCCCCACCUUGGUCUCAUUCUCUUCCCGUGGAGCCGGCAGCCUUGCCAUUCAGAGCCCCCAGGAGGCAAACAGAACGCGUGUGAAUGCCCAUCCCAUUGUGCUCAGCAGGAAAGAUGUGGAAAGCCAAGCUGCACAGGAAGAAUGCCAGUUCCAGAAAGUUCCAGGGAUUCAUCAGCACAGACCCAAUCCUAGAACAGAUUGCUGAGGAGGCAGGGUGAAGUGGGGGCUGGGCCAGAACCACACUUGUGCCCUGGAGCAGCCAAGAACAUUCCUCGGAGCUCCACCCAGAGAGCAGGCAAUUCCACGGCAGGAAGGGGGACUCGAGCACCACACAGAAGCCUCGGAUGCCAACAGAAACAACAGAUUCCGAAUCCCCGAACAAAACCUAACUUUAACCCCACAGCUCCAGGCUGAGCACCAUUGCAGCAGGCUUAGAGAGAAGGUUGCAGAGAAACUGCUGCUCAGCUCUGGUCUGACUGAGCGGUCACUGCUUUCCUGUCUUUCCCUCAGGGCACCACAGCAAUCACAUCAAGAGGAGACUGGGCAAUGGACUUGUUAGUGCAGAAGGGGAGACUAUGUGGUUACAGGUCCCUGGGGCUGCAUCUGCUAACUGAGCUGCUG